AGCGAACGCUAGCGGCGGGCUUAACACAUGCAAGUCGAGCGCCUUACUUCGGUAAGGAGCGGCGGACGGGUGAGUAACACGUAGGUUAUCUGCCCCGGGGUGAGGGACAACUGAGGGAAACUUCAGCUAAUACCACAUAUGGCCUACGGGUCAAAGGCUUCGGCCGCCCUGGGAUGAGCCUGCGUCCCAUUAUUUAAUCCUAGUUGGUGGGGUAAUGGCCUACCAAGGGUACGAUGGGUAGCUGGUUUGAGAGAAUGAUCAGCCACACUGGAACUGAGACACGGUCCAGACUCCUACGGGAGGCAGCAGUGGGGAAUAUUGCGCAAUGGGGGAAACCCUGACGCAGCAACGCCGCGUGUGUGAAGAAGGCC
rnacentral:rRNA from 1 species